rfam:Columba livia unplaced genomic scaffold scaffold79, whole genome shotgun sequence.
GUGUAUUCUCAGCUUUGAGAACUGAAUUCCAUGGGUUGUAAUUGAAUUCGCUGUCAGACCCAUGGGGCUCAGUUCUUCAGCUUGGAUAUUUCUG